rnacentral:rRNA from 1 species
UGAGGAAUAUUGGUCAAUGGGCGAGAGCCUGAACCAGCCAAGUAGCGUGCAGGAUGACGGCCCUAUGGGUUGUAAACUGCUUUUAUGUGGGGAUAAAGUGCGUGACGUGUCAUGCAUUGCAGGUACCACAUGAAUAAGGACCGGCUAAUUCCGUGCCAGCAGCCGCGGUAAUACGGAAGGUCCGGGCGUUAUCCGGAUUUAUUGGGUUUAAAGGGCGCGUAGGCUGUCUAUUAAGCGUGUUGUGAAAUAUACCGGCUCAACCGGUGGCUUGCAGCGCGAACUGGUCGACUUGAGUAUGCAGGAAGUAGGCGGAAUUCCUGGUGUAGCGGUGAAAUGCUUAGAUAUCAUGACGAACUCCGAUUGCGCAGGCAGCUUACUGUAGCAUAACUGACGCUGAUGCUCGAAAGUGCGGGUAUCAAACAGG